rnacentral:rRNA from 1 species
UCCGGUUGAUCCUGCCAGAGGUCACUGCUAUCGGUGUUCGUCUAAGCCAUGCGAGUCAUAUGUUCUUCGUGAACAUGGCAUAUUGCUCAGUAACACGUGGAUAACCUGCCCUUGGGACCGGCAUAACCCCGGGAAACUGGGGAUAAUAUCGGAUACUCCGUAUCUGCUGGAAUGCUUUACGUUUUAAACGGUUUUUUCCGCCCAAGGAUGGGUCUGCGGCCUAUCAGGUAGUAGCGGGUGUAAUGUACCUGCUAGCCUACGACGGGUACGGGUUGUGAGAGCAAGAGCCCGGAGAUGGAUUCUGAGACAAUAAUCCAUGCCCUACGGGGCGCAGCAGGCGCGAAAUCUUUACAAUGCGGGUCACCGUGAUAAGGGGACACCGAGUGCUAGCAAGAAUUGCUGGCUGUCCAGGUGCUUAACUUGCACCUGUUAGCAAGGGCCGGGCAAGACCGGUGCCAGCCGCCGCGGUAACACCGGCGGCCCGAGUGGUGAUCGUUAUUAUUGGGGUCUAAAGGGUCCGUAGCCUGGUUGGUCAGUCUUCCGGGAAAUC